rnacentral:lncRNA from 1 species
ACUCAGGCAUGGGCGUUGGGGGCGGCAGUGGCUGUCGAGCGCGGGCCGGAGACCAGGCACGGCUCCCCGGGCGGGCGCGCCGGCGUCGGACUUCCGAGGCGGCGGCUUCUGCUCUUGUGCCGCCGCCGCCGCCGGAGCUGCGGCUGCCGCGGAAGUUAAUUGCAACUUGACUUCAAGUUGUCUUCUUUCCCCAUCCGAAGUGGGCGUUUAAAGGGGAGAGCGAGGCGAGGAGCGAGCGAGCGAGCGCGCGGGGCCGAGGGAAGGAAGAGAAGGGGGGAGGGAGGAGAUGUUACCGGGGGGAGGGGAGGGGGAGGGGGCGGCUGGGGGCGGGAGGGGGAAAGGGGCCGGCGGGAGCUGCUCUCGGCUCGGCGGCCGCCGCGCCCGCAGUCUGGAGGCGCACCGGAGCGGCCGGGGCGCCCCUCGCGGGAGCCCGCAGCCACCGGGGCGCGCAUCCAGCCGCGGCUCCUCGGCCGGGCACGCUGCGCCCGGGGGCUCGGCGGACCCCGCGCCGCCGCCGCUUCGGAGCUUGUGCGCGGGCUGGCCGGCGGGGCGGCGAGGGCCCAACCCGCCUCCCCAGCGCCCGCCCCGGCUUCUCCCCCUGGCGGUGGAGCCUCGGCGGCCGCCGGCACCAGCAGGCGCGCUGGAGCCCGAGCCGAGCCGAGCCCGAGCCGCCGCCGCCGCCGCGCGCCGCUCCCAGGCUCCCUCCCAGCGCGCCGGCCGGGGUGUGGGGGGCGGCGGGCCGAGGGGCGAUGGCGGGUGGGGGGCGCGCCCUGGGGCUGGCGCCGAAGACCGGACCCUCCUCUGCCAGGGUUUAUACGUGGGACGCCUACCACAGCAUGGCUGCCAAGCAGUGCCAUGUCCGCACCCGGGAUCCGAACUGGCAAACCCCGGGCCGCCGAGAAGCGGAACGUGCGAACUUAACUGCUGCGCCACCGAGCCGGCCCCGAGACUAUAUUGUUUUUAAUUAAGCAAGAACAGGUAUAAAUAAGAAUAGAUUGUGACUAAAUGAAAAAUUCAGUAGGUGAAAUUUCUAUUUUGCAGAAAUAGAAAUCAGAGAUACAGAAGAAAAACUUCAUAAGUAGUCUAAACAUCCAAAGGAGAUGAAUAAAAGUUAAAAAGAUAAGAGGAAAUUGGAUAAAUUAUGGAGUUCUAACUCAGAAUAUAACUUCCUUGAGAGCAAUAAAAAUCUUAUUGUAACCUUACCCCUAACAGAGGACUUAACACAUAGUAUAUACUAUUAGUAUUAAAUAAAUGUUUCUUGAACUUAUGAAUAAAAUAAUCAGUGUUCCCCUGAAAAUAAAGCAGAUGGACCAGAAGUAAAAAUCAAAGUUAUAAAAGAAAAACUUUGUGAAGAAAAAGUUGCACUGACAGAUUUCUUUUGAACAAAAUUAGGAAAUAGAGAUAAGUGCCUAGUCAGAGGCUGGUCAAUUUUUAAAUUUCUAGGGCAAACAAAAUUCCUGCAAUUGUCUAAGAAAAAUAUAUAUAUAAAUACUUUUGUAGAUCACCCUCAUUUUUUUAAUAUAGAACAAGAACUUUUUUAAGACCACAGGUAAAUUUCUACAUAUUUUAAGAGAAACCAGUUUGAUUUUGCAAGUUUUAUGCCUACCUGAUUAUUGGCUUAUGUGUAAAAGCAACAGUGGAACAUUUUAAAAUCUGAAAAGUGUCAGAAAAUAUAAAUAUUUUCUGAAAAAUAUUGCAGAGAGAUAUCUUCCAGAUCAUUGAGAGGUGAGACAAUAUAAAAACUCAAGAAUAGGACAUUUUGGGAAAAAUGAUUAGUGCUAAGCAUUGAAGGUAAAGACAAAGAAAUAAAUGAAUAAUGUAUAGUGAAAAUUGAAGUGAGUGAAGAAUUGAUGCUGAUGGCUAGAUAUUUUUUUUUACUAAAGGACCAAUGUUUUCAAUAAAACAAUCUUUAAGAAGAAAUUUUCAUAUUUUUAAGUGAAGAGUUUGUAACUCAUGAUCACAAUGUGGAAUGAGGAAAUGGAGAAAACAAAAGCAUUAGAAGUUGUUGCUUUAUUUUUAAAUCAUUAGAUAAGAAUGCAUUUAAGGAUAGUUAUGCAUAAUUAAAUGUAGGCACUAGUUGAACUGGAAACAAACAAUCUAUGUUAUAAGUAACUGUAGAAGAUAAAAGUAAACAAAACAUAGUCCAUGCAAAAGGCAGAAUGGAAAGGAAACAAUAACAAACUAUUGAAAAGGACAAAGUAUAAAAUAAGUCCAAUCAAGCUUAAAAAUUAUGACAAGUAUAAAUGGCUUAAAUUUUCCUAUUCAAAUGGAAAGAUCUUCACAUUAAGUUACAAUGAAAGUCUUAUGAUUUGGUGUACUUACAAGAGUCAUACUUAAAGAAAAAUGACAUAGAAAUAUUUUUUUAAAUGGCAAAGAUUUUCCAGCCUAACAUGCUUACAUCUAAAUCAAAUAUAGCAAUAUAAAUAUAAAAGAGGAAUUUUUGUCAAAAAAAAACAGUAAAUAAGACAACAGGACUAUUUUAUAAUCAUGAAUAGUAUAGUAUUAGUGAGAGAAUAAUGGUACUGAAAGAUUAUGCAUUAAAUAAGCAAAAGGUAAUUUUUACAUUCCAUUCUUUUAAUACAAUAGGACUCAACACAGCAAAAUAUUGAAAAUAAUAUGUAUCCAAGCAGUGCAAAAGUUUACAAAAUUAGAAACUAUACUAGGGAAAUACAUCAUAUCAGUAGGUUAAAUAAAAAAAGAAGUCAAUUGUUAUUUUAAUAGAUUGUUUUUAAAAGCAUUGGAUAAAAUUUAAUACCUGUUUCUGUUAAAAUGAUAAAGAAGGAAAAAUAAAAUAUUUCCCUAACAUGAUAGUAUUUUCAACUAACAGUCAACAUUAAAAUUAAUGUAAAAAUACUAGAAAUGCAUGUGUUUAAAAACAGGUGGGGAUGGAAGUUGGUAUGAUGGUUUGGUCAUAAUAAUCUUAUUAAAUGUUAUUUUAAAAGCCCUGAUCAGUGUAAUAAAACACUAAAGAAAGAACAGGUAUAAAGAGUGAAAAAGAUACAACAUUAUCCUUGUGUAUUGGAAAAAUAUUUUUUAUAGCUCAAAGCCCAAGGGACUCAAGAAAAAUAUGAAUAGACAAUAAAUGAGUAAAAAUUAAAAGACAUAUGAAUAUUAAAUAAAUCAGUAGUAUUUUUAAAUAUUAGCAACCAUUUAAAUAUAAACUUUUAAAAGAGGUUCAUUUUAUAAGAGCAACAAAAUGUAUAAAGCUGUAUGAUUUAUUUUAAACAGAAAUAUGUGAAAUAAAACUUUUGGGGAGCUAAAAAAUGUUAAAUAAUCAAAAGACCUUAUUUUUAUUGUUUGAUUGUUUUUGAUAUAGCUAAAGUUCUCCUAAAGAACUUUUUGGGAGCUAUAAAAAUAUUAAAAGACUAGUUUCUGCUUUAAAAGAUAACAUUUUUUAACUGUUAACUUUUUCCAAAAGGUAGAUUUAAUGGAAAUCUAAUAGUUUUUCUUUUGUUUUUCACAUUUUGAGAUAAUAGUGAGAGGAACUUGAUUUUGAAAUAAAUCCAGAAAAGAAAGUAGGCAAGAAUAGCAAGUAAAAAUCAGUUUUGAGAAAGAAGAGUAAUGAGAAGAGACCAGUCUUAUCAAAUAUUGAAAUAGAUUAUAAAGUUAUAAUAAUUAAAACCAUGUGAUACUGGCACCAAAAUAGAUAGAUUAAUGAGGCUAAAUAUGUGGUCAAAAUAAAUUAUAUUUUGAGAAUAUAAUGAAGUAUUUCAAAGAAUAAAAUAUUUGAUAAUGGCAGGACACAAAUCAAUGGAGAGGGAAAACACUUUACAAUAUGUGGACUGAUUAACAGUUUGGAAAAAAUCAAUUUGCACAUUCAUCAUACACAUGCAAUAAAUUAGCAAAACUCAAACCAUAGGAAGUCUAAAGGGACUUGUUUUUAUAAGCUUAGAAUACUGUAACUAAUUGCAAAGUGAAAGAUAAAAUAGAUUUGAUUAUAUUAAAACAGCAAUAAAACAAGCCACCAGUAGCCUAGGUACAAUUAUUUGAAUGUAAUAACAGAAAGGGUUAAUAUGAUUAUUACACAGAAGAUCAUACAAACUCAUAAUAACACUGCAACUGAGAACUAAUACAUGAGAUAAGAAUAGAAUCACAUUUCACAAAAGAUGAAAUAUAACACAUUUGCAAACAUACAAAAACAUCCAGUCUUACUAAUAAUCAAAUGAAUAUACACUAAAACAAGAAUAAGUUAUACUUAGGUUUAAUCCAUUAUUUUUAAAUUAGUGUCAAGGACUUCUACUCUCAGCUGUUGCAGAUUAUUUUCAUUUAGAUCAACUCAUCCGCUGAAAGCAAGUAGAAAAGCUGAAUAAAAUCUAGCAAAUAUUUGUUUAAAGGCAUACGAGAGCUCUGAGGUAGAGAGGACUUGAAAGGCCAAGAACCCAGAGAGCAGGGAAUCCAAGAGAGAUCCCCUAUAUGUAACUGCCUGUCAGAAGCAAAAGUGAAACAUAUUUGACAAAGAUAUGAUCAUCCAGAGGCUCAAAUUAUUUCUAUGAUUUUUCACACACAAUGUGCGGCAUUUAAUAAAGUUACCAGGCAUACCAGCAGACAAGAUAAAAUGACCAAAAAUAGACCUACAGGAGAUCCAGAUACAGGAGUAACAGACUUUAAAAUAUCUGUGAUUAGUCAAUUAAAGAAAUUAGAUAAGAAGAUGGAGAAUUGCAACAGAUUACUGGUAGCUAUCAUGAAAAACAGAAAUUCUGGAACUGAGAAAUAAACUGAUAGAAAUUAAAAACUCAAUAGAUGAGUUUAAGAACAGAUUAGAAAAAGAUGAAGAACAGAUUGAUAAACUGGAAGACCAAAGCAACAGAAAAUUUAAUGUUAGUAGCCAAAGUCAGCAAGAGGUCAUUGAAAAAUGGUUUCUUCUUACAUAACGAGUGGCAUAUAAGUCUGUAUAACACUUUUUGGAAAUACUUGGCAAUGUAAGUCAGAUAGUAGAACAAAAACUUUUAUAUCUUUUGACCCAAUAUUCUUAUCUCUGAGAAUAUAUUAUAAGGAAAUAAUUUUUUUAUUGUGAAUUGCUUUUUGUAUGAAGAUGUUCAUUACAGACAUUUAUAAUAGUAAUAACUUUGUGCAGAUGAUGUUUUAAGUUCUUUUCUUCAAUUAAUGCAGUUAAUCCUCACAAAAACCCAACGAAGUGGAGAUAGUUGCUGUUAACGUCUUCAUUUUACAGAUGAGAAAACUGGAACACUGACAGAUCAAGUAUCUUUCUCAAGAUUGCAUAGCCAAUGAGUAGAGGAGCAAGGAUUUGAACCAGGCUGUUGGCUCCACAGCCUACGCUUGAACCUGCUCUAGGCUGUCGGAAGCAACCUAAAUAGCUAACAACUGGAGAUUUGCUAAGGUGUUGCGGGCCUCUGCUCUCGUAAUACUUCAGCUACAGAACCCACGUGUGAACGCUCCUAGCGCUCUGGAGAAGAUCAAAUGCAUGUGGAAGCUCUUUGAAAACCAUAAAGCCCUCUAAAUGAAAAGGUUGCAGCCAUGCUCCCUUGCACGUUUUUUUGCGGAGGAAGAUUAGCCCUGAACUAACAUCUGUGUGCAUCUUGCUGUACUUUAUAUGUGCGACACCUGCCACAGCAUAGGUCCACACCCAGGAUCCGAACCAGUGAACCCUGUGCCACCAAAGCAGAACGCGUGAACUUAACCACUAUGCCAUUAGGCUGGUCCACCUUGCACUUUCUUUUAUUUCAGAUGAUUUUGUACUUUCUUUGUAACUCACUCUAAAUAAUGCGUGUUGUUUUGCAUUUUUUAUAUCAGGAAGCGAAAUAUUAAAAAAUUUAUCAAAGUUGUAGGAAAAAGGGCACUCCCAUAAUAGAAAAAAAAAUGUAGCUUUAUGUCAUCAUUUUUUUAGAGAUUCUCUAGAGGUGAGCAGGGUUCCUUUAAAAAUAUGAAAUGAUAUAUUAUUUGAAAGUUGCUUGAACUACCACUGAUUGAGAUGGUAAAUUGGCACAACAGUUGUGCAAUAGCCAUUUAAAAAACAGAAAAACCUUCAACUGUGUAUAACCAUUCAAACAGAGAUAUUCACUUUUAGAAAUUUAUGCUACAGAAAUACAGAUAUGUUCACAAUUAAGCAUGAGACUGUUCAUUGUGGCAUGAGAUAUAUUAGGGGAAAAUUGGAAACAUCCUAAUGUCUAAACAUAGAUGCUAGUUUAAUAAAUUAUAAUACAUCCAAUCUAUAAAAUUCCAUUUACCAUCACAUAGAAAUCAUAUAGAAAAUAUUUAAUGAUGUGAGAAAUACAAAACAUUAAGUGGAAAAAGUAAGCUAGAAAACAGUUUGUCUAAAAUGAUCACAUACAUAAUAUAUAUACAUAUGGUCUGUCAUACAAUAAAAUGUUAACAGGUCAAUUAUGUCUCAAUAAAACUGGAAAAAUGUUA